rnacentral:rRNA from 1 species
UAAGGUCAAGUAAAGAAGGGCGCACGGUGAAUGCCUAGGCACAAUGAGGCGAAGAAGGACGUGACGAACCACGAAAGGCUUCGGGGAGCAGUAAGUACGCAAAGAUCCGGAGAUAUCCGAAUGGGGGAACCCAAUGCAUGCAGAUGCAUUACCAGGUGGUGAAUCAAUAGCCACCUGGGGCAAGACGCAGUGAACUGAAACAUCUAAGUAGCUGCAGGAAGAGAAAGAAAAAUCGAUUUCCCUAGUAGCGGCGAGCGAAGCGGAAAGAGCCCAAACCAGAUGAUUUAUCAUUUGGGGUUGUAGGACUGCGACAAGGUAGCGCAAAGGAUAGCAGAAUUACCUGGGAAGGUAAGCCAGAGAGGGUGAGAGCCCCGUAAGCGAAAUCCCCAGCGCGCCGAGCAGGAUCCUGAUUAGGUCGGGACACGAGGAAUCCCGAUUGAAGCAGCGAGGACCAUCUCGCAAGGCUAAAUACUACAUUGUGACCGAUAGUGAACCAGUACCGUGAGGGAAAGGUGAAAAGAACCCCGGGAGGGGAGUGAAAGAGAACCUGAAACCGUGUGCCUACAAGUAGUCAAAGCCCAUUAAAGGGUGAUGGCGUGCCUUUUGUAGAAUGAACCGGCGAGUUACGUUAAUUAGCGAGGUUAAGUCAGAAAAGACGGAGCCGGAGCGAAAGCGAGUCUGAAGAGGGCGAGGUAGUUAGUUGAUGUAGACCCGAAACCAAGUGACCUACCCAUGACCAGGUUGAAGGUGCGGUAAAGCGCACUGGAGGACCGAACCCACGUAAGUUAAAAAUUGCGGGGAUGAGUUGUGGGUAGCGGUG